UGUUACCUAUCUAGUCACUUGGAAAAUCGGAACAAGUAUUUAGUUUGAGGAAACAAAAACUUUCCUCAGCAUCUGAGUUCUGAAAACAACCAAAACCUUUGCGAAAGAAAUGGGGAUUAAUAGCAGACUGCGGGUUCAGUUCCCUCUGGUUGCAUGAUUUGAAAGGCGAAAACAAGGAGUGAAGCUGAAUGUGAAAAAUGAAAACUGCCCACCUGGUGAAAAGAAGGGAAGGAGGAAAUCAGAAGGGUGCCUGCACGUAAGGAAGCAGAUUACAUGUGCUGUUUCAAAUGUGUAUCGAUUUGCCAGUGGGGAGAGAGAAAACUCCAUCUUUGAUAAAGAAUUUGAUUUGAUGAUCAUUUACAGACCACACCGCAUGAAGUCUUGACACUGUUUCUUCACCCUAAUUACUUUGUGAGCCAUCUGGUGCACCUGCUGUUGCAGGGAGGCAGGAAUAACAGUUUUACACCCUCCCUCCCUUUUCUUUUCCUUUUUAUCACACUGAGAUAGAUCUUUUAGGUGAACAUCCACCUGACAUGGCCAGACAGUGCAGAUGUAGACGCAGGUGCAAACUCGGUCAACCAUGCCUCCAGAUGGCUCUUACUUAUUAAGGCAGCCAAAGUAAUA